UGAUGUCAACGUCUACACAAAUUCUUCCUACUUUGAUGGAUCAAACAUUACCACACGGAAUGCUGUAUAUGUCGUUAAGACGCAUAUGCCACACGGAAUGGUCGAUGUCAAUGUAGGAAGAAAUAUGUCUGUUGGCAUUACUUUUUUCACGGACACAAAACAAACUAUUGAAGGAAACAUGAGACAUAUGGCUGCAUCUUUUAGCUCUCUGCUUAAAGAAACUCUAAUCUACAGAGGACUGCUCUUUGGAAACCUCACAAAAAUCUCACUUGAGGUUGCUUGGCGUGGUGGUCACUUUGGAAUCCCAGAGGCAAUAGAUGUCAUUUCUACAAACAGGGUUCAUCCAUCUGCCUUUCGCUGUGUGAGGAAAUUA